CUUGGUUUCGGGAGUUUACCGCCCAAGAACACCUUGGGGAGUAAACUCCUAAAUCGAAUGAUUUAGCUAUGUAAUCUAUGUUAUGAACACAUUUAAAGCUUUCUAACACUACUAGAAAGAGUUACUCACAAUUUGGGAUAAAAACCCGAAGAUCCGUGAGAGAGAAUUUUGGCUUUUCUCUAAUUGGAAUUCAACUAAUGAACCAAUUUGGUUCAGAAUUCUAUUUAUAGUCCUGAGAUAUUUUGGCAGAAAAUAUUUUUAUUCCUGAAACGAAUUCUAAUGUCCUAGAGUAUUGGAAUAACAGUGUUGCACAAAACCCUAGUGCAUCCACUCUCCUAAUAUCUCCUUAAGUGUAAAAUCCUGAAAACUGCCAAACUUAUACUCGAAAUCUGAGUUUUCACUGUAACUGUUCUACUUCUAUUGGCUUCAAAUGGUUUGUUCAGAAUGGAAAUUUCGGGUUGUCACAACAUCCCCCUGUUGAAAGGAAUUUCAUCCCGAAAUUAGAAUUUAGGCAAGGAAGUAUGUACGAAUGAUCGAGUCGUGAGGAGGAAACUUCCUAAUCGAUUGGUUCUAGCGCACUUAAGUGAAAUCGGGUUCUCGGUUGGAAUCCCAACGAACCUUCACUAUCGGGCGAUGGCGCUGCUUCGUCCGCUUGACCUCUCGGUCGAGGGUCACUACGGUUCUAAUACGAAGGCGAGGAUCUCGACGAGUGGACUUACAAGAGUCCUAACGGAAAGGUAUGGUUUCACGAUCGAGACGCGAAGAGUAGGAUGUACGUUACUGAGUUCGCGGAGUAGGUCUAGUUUGUGCGAGGCACAGGACCGAUUCUGAUAAGAAUCUCGGAGGUCCUAACUAUAUUGGAUUUAGCUUUCCACGCGAUACGAAGCGUAUUAAGCCAUUCCCAGAGUGAGUUCUCCUAAAGAACUUGGUCACUCACUUGGAAUUCCAAAGGUUCCUUUUCUUGCUUAACUUCCCAGUCAAAGGCCACCCCUUGCUGGGUCAGAGUCGUACGGGUUUCUGUAAUUUGCGAGGAGUUCUGAAUGAACUAUGUCAGUAGGUCGGUAAGACCUAGAAUUUGGCGAAUGGCCUUUGGCGUCUCCGUUGUCGACAAAUGCUCAACAGUUUUGACAAAUUGAAAAAGUACUAAAAACUUCCCACAUUACUAACAGUGUGUCUUAGAAAUUCGACUCUUCAAUUUCAAAAAUCGUGCCUAGAGAACAUCGCUAAAAGUUCCUCUGUAGGAAAUGUUUCCAUGGGUUUUCUUCUUACUACGAGGGUAGAUAAGUAAGUCAUUACAUGGAGAAAUGACGAACUGAUCCAAGUAAGAAAGACGUACCCUACUCGUUUAGCUCAUGAAAGCUAUGGGCGUAUUGGUCCUAUCCGAAGGGUAUCACUACGGACUCGAAGUGUCCGCAUCGAAUUCGGAAGAUAGUCUUCUGGACAUCCUUCCCUAACACCCGAACUGGUGAUAUUCGGAUCAUAGAUCCAUUUCUGAAAGUAAUUCUUUCCUUGCAUUUGCUCAACCAUUUCAUUUAUGCAUGACAGAGAUAACGAUUUCUAAUGAAAAAUCAUGACGGAGUCCUCGAUAUUCGAGGCUCAUACGAUGCAAUCUGUCGAUCUCUGGGAGAAUAAGACUGGGGUUCUCUAGGGUGAGAAGCCUAGUCUUCUAAUUCUAUUUCUGUGUGGUUCGCUAAGUUGUCUGUACUGUUCUUGUGUCUUCGUAUGUGUUUAGACUAUAGGGUGAUCUGUUUACAAGAGUCGUAUUGGGUUCUAAGUUUGUUCACAUGACGAUGCGAUUACUCGUAGUCUUAGGUAGUUCUCCGUCCUGAAGUUCAUAUUAGAAUUCAUACCUGGUUUCACCAUCACAAUUUCGGGUAUACGAGUCGUAUAUAACUAAGAUUGAAAAGAUAGUCGAAUAACUGAUUCUUCUUUAAGCUCACAUCCCAUCGGGGAAAAAGAAGUUAAAGUGGAAUCAUCAAUUCUAAACCUGUAGAACCUUGAUUAUAUAUCACUCUUAUGCAUACAGUCCUCAGUGAUAGAUCAAUUGUAUAAAUCCUUGGAUUGAACUUGACAUACUGCACGAGUGGUACUUCGGGGAUUUCUUCGGAAAGAAAAUAACUAAGAGGUACUCCUGGAAUGAGUACUUCGGUGUUCUGAUAUGAUGGCUUUGCUGGUAAAGUGAUCUAGAAGAAAGAGAUGUACGUAUGAAGCUGUUUUCGUGAGGGUCAAUUUUUUAUCGAGUCGUAUGAUAAUGUCGGAAUCAUACAAAAACUUUAAAGACAUUAGAAUUAACAUAAGACGGUUACAGACAAAACACAACCGUGCAACCAUGAACAGAGUUAUAGUACUUUAGAUUUACCACAAGACUAUUGCUGCGAAUAAGAUAUACUACAAAAGACAAGUAUACGCAGCACAAGAAUCCCUAUACCGAUAGGAUCUCGCAAAAGGUAAGACUCUAGUUGCACUAAUUCUGGAUAGUUUAUAAGUCUGUUACAACAACACGCCUAAGUUACAUUAACGAGGGUUCCGGCGUAGGCUCACUUGCAGUUGUGAUCCUAAGAACCUUCCCAUCAGCACCCGAGUUCUUUGUUAUCGGGAAAUAUUUCGUUAAGUGUCCAAUUUCACCGCAUUGGUGACAUAUCUGGACAGCACCAACAUUGGUGGUAGAAGUGAAGUGUCGAGUGGGAUUUAUGGGGAUGCGGGUUCUUUCCUUGAUUUCCUUCUUUGGGCAAUCUCUUUUAUAGUGCCCAAACUCACCACAAUUAUAGCAAACUAGGCUUGCUCCAGUGGUGGAGGUAGUUCUACAGAAACAAGCAAUGUGCCCCAUCUUGUUGCAAUUUUCGCAUUGCAAGGCUCGACAAAUUCCCUAGUGGUGGUAGUUGCAUCGAUCGCACUUCGGGAGUGUUCCUUUGUAUGGUCUGCUUGGUACGGGGAUGGCAGAGGUUUCCACUUGCUGUUGUUGCAUGGCAAGUUUUCGGGGUUUCUUGCGUUCUUUCUGAGCUUGACGCUUCCGUUUCUUGUUCUUUGAUUUUCGGCUUUGCGGGCCUGAGGCCGUUACCGUUUGAUGACUUCCUGGAUGGAUACCACUAUUGGAAACUUCAUUCCCAUCAACAGCAUUGACUGUGCUGAUAGCGCUACGGUGCGCAAGGACCGCGGUUACGGCAGCCACCACGGCANNNNNNNNNNNNNNNNNNNNNNNNNNNNNNNNNNNNNNNGAUUUGUGAGCGAUUCUGGUUGACCCUAGAUGUACUUCGAUUGCUCAAGAAAAGAGUAAGAGUAUGUUCUCGAAAGUUUGACCUACAUCCCUAUGAUGCAGUCCUAGCACGGAAUGGAAGUGAGUUCGCGAAGGUUUGACCGACAUCCCUAUGAUGCAGUCCUAGUAAUAGGUAGAAGUAAGUUCGUAGGAUGGUCUCAAGACGUUUGUCGUUCAAGCCGAGGUACCGUGGAUUGGUGAAUAACAAGAUCCAACCACUAAAAAAGACUUGGAAAUGUCUCCGGAGCUAAAUUACUAUAGUCUAAUGACUUGACUAAAGCAUGAUUCAGAUAGACUCAAAUGAAAGUAUGAUAAAAGUACUUGAAUGAAGAAUGACACAGAAGUUAGCCGGCUGUCAAUAUCUUUGAUAUUCACGAUGUAAAGAUUCGGGAAAAUGACCUUGUAAAGGUCUUACAUCAUAUCCACAGAAGAUAGUUCCUGACAGCAUAAGGACCUAACUAAAAGUACUUACAGUACAAGAUAAUUUCAUAGAAAAUGCCACAUCAGGCAAAGACAGAAAACGAUUACUUUCUAACAAGGGAAGUAAGGUAAAGCAUCUACUCCUGGCGACGGUCAUCCCUCUGGUGAACUCUCGGUUAAGCCAGUCGACGUUCCUCAUCAAGUAGGUGUCUGUUGUACACCCUAUGGCAUACUCGAAGUUCUAUGACUUCGGCUCGUGAUUCAGCCAGUGCUUGCAGCAGGGUUUCAUGGUUUCUCUCUUCUCUCACGCGAGCAUCUUCUAGACUAAUGGUGCGGAGGGUAUGUAUUCUCGUAUCAGUGACAUCUUCGGAAAUCUGGUGUAGGGCUAUCCUGCCUUGAAUCUCAUUUCGGGUCACUCUGCAGACCAAGAUUGGCAACACUCUAUCUGCUGAGCCCUCAUUGCUCAAGUCGUUAAAGCUUCGGUUACCAUUAAAUGGCAUGGGUUGAUCUUGUCCUUGGCUUCAUGUUUCCAAGCAUUCCACCCACUCAGGCGUCGGGCCAUGAAAAGUCGGACGAGGGUUAGGAAUUGGAAAGGGAGCUGCUUAGGGUAGGUUCUCAACCUCUGGUUCGGAGUUAGCAUCAUCCGAAAGGUUUUCAUCAUGGUGAUCAUUCAAGGGGAUAGGAUGAUCAUUCUCUGGUUCUUCUCCAAACCAACCAGCUAUGACUUCGUUCGGAAGAUACUGGUUGCCGAGGGGAUGGAGUCCAGCUAUGUUUUCUAUGCGAGAAUUUAGGGUAAGAGAAUAAUUAUUAGACGAACUAUCUAGAUAAUUAUUUAGAAAACCUUCAUUAGUUACAUCGCUAUUUGUGAAGUGCAUACCAGCUAUGUAUAAUCUAAACAGGAUAGGCCUUCGAAUAAGUGACAUUAACUCCGUAUUCACACAGAAUAGGGUGAAGUAAAAUUUCCAUAGAUUCUAAGUCUAUAACAUCCUAAUUACAUAUAGCAUUAGUGUAUCCACUUAGAAACUAUGAACUUAGUAAUGAAGAUCCCAUUUUAGUUCUCAACUAUACAGUACUUAUAGUAACAGCAAAUACUCCUAUAGUAUUUUAAAUUUAAUGUUAUGUUCUAUUGUUCUCAUUAUGGUAGGAUUGGUAAGAUUUUAGCAUUGUUGCAACCACACAAUUAAACUUAGGCACAUGCUAGUCAACCCUCGGAUAAUAUAGGUGAUCAGGCUAUAUCUUCCCAUUUUUGACCAUAUGUCUCUAAUCCCACCUGUGUUGCCCAACAAUUGUAAUUCUUUUGUACUGUCCUAGUGACACUGAUUUUAGUAUGAAUGCAGGCACGUAUACUUACUUAAAUAUUUUAUUAUUUAAAGUAUAAACUCUUGGUCAGAGUAUUUUUAAUCCCUUAUGUAUUUAUAGUUAGUAUAUCUUUUAUGGGUUGAUAUACUUAAUUCACUAUAAACAAUGCUCUGAUACCAAUCUGUCACACCCCAAAACCAAGAACGGCGGAAACGUUCUGGGGCGGAGGACGUCAUGUACAGUAUCACAACAAUGAAAAGUAGUAAACAAGCAACAACAUCAUCCAUUGCAUUAAUAAUAUAAUUAUUAUACAAGUGUGUUCUGUCAAAUUUUGAUAAACACUAAAGCAUAAAUCAAAAUGAAAGAUGAGACUUCAACGAGCUCCAUCUUCCCUAAUCCUUGCGUCGGUACCUGUCUAAGAUGACCUGAGGAUACAAGAAAUUUUGAAAGCGAGUAUCAGCUUUGAAGCUGGUGAGAUCAUAAGUAUCUUAGUGUCUCAAUUUGUAUGUAAGUAUUUGUAUGUAAGAAUUUGUAUAUGAACUGUAAGUAUUGAAAAUGGUAUGAAAAUGUUUUUAAAACAACUGUAAACGUUUGAAAAACCCUAGAAAUCUCUAUGAUUCCUACUAUUAUAACAGGGAAUCUUCUACCAAGACUUAACUGAUCUCUAUGUAGCCUUCUACCAAGGCAUCUAGUGUCUGUGUGUGUCUCUGGUAAGAGUGUGUAUUUUCCCAAAUCUGACUACCAUUAAUCAAAAAGAUAGUUUCUACAUUACCGUGCGUCGCAUGAAAAUUCACGAAGUGAAUGUAAUGGGAAAAGAAAUAGUACUAUGGUGUAGUAUCGAACUACAACCGUACCUAUUACCUUAAAUCUAGGGUAAACCUACCAAGUACCACAGUAUUUGGAUAUAUAUUUAGGUAUAUAUAUCAAUACACCGAUACUCAACUUGCCUUAUUUGAUGGAUAAGGUAUAAUGUGAUGUCUAGAUCCCAGACUGUUUCGCUCCCCUAUCAGAGGGAUUUUAGGACCCACACACGACCCCUGCAUGAAUGCAAGCCGUGAGCACCACAUUACCUGCGAUCAUGUAUACUCGAUAUAACCAUCACAUUCGUAGUGUGAUUUAUCAGUAUAGUUAGAUCCUAAACUGGUUCUGAGCUAUAGCCCCUAAUGACGUCUAUCCUAUGUAUAUGAAAGCGUACUCAUGUAAGUGUGAUCACGUAAUUGUACUUAUGGUGUACUGAAGUGUUCUACGUGUGCUAGCUGUAAUGUGUGAUCUCUUUAGCUAGCAUGUAUUGUCAUGUAAGUGUUCUAGUAUAAUUGUAUAUGUUCUCGUCCUAAUAUAGAUGUAUAUGUAUUUCACAGCAACAUUCUAGAAAGUAUUGACUCAUGAAUGAACUGACUCGUUGUAUGAUAUCGUGUUCUAGUAAUAGUUCUAGUAUCUUCCUGAACUACCCAUAUGGUAGCUUACUAGUGAUCUAAGUGGUACGUAUGGACAUGGAUGUAUACCCUUGCUACCCAAGGGCAUAGGAUGAAUUGGAAGGACCUUUUAUGACUUUAUGUGUACACAUGAUAUAUAACUAAUAUUUAAACGACCUUCGGACGAGUACCCGAUAUCCCACCAGACCACAUCUCAAGCGCGAAAAGGAAAUAGGGUGGAUAGCCUUCCUAAGUCUUUUAAACAUUUCUUAUAUAACUAUACAUAUAGAGGCAUGCAAUUUAUAAUUUAAAAGCAUAAAAUAAGAUUUGUAAAACCUUUGAACAUAAAUAUUUUCUAAGAAAAGACCGACUUGAUGUCGAUCUAUAAAAUGGUUUUGAAGGCAUGGGUUUGAUAAAACAGUUUAGUAUAAAGAACAUUUGUUUGAAACACAAUUGUAAAUAAGUUUGAAAUGUAAUAUACAGAAUAAAAUGUACAGUGUAAUAAGGAGUUUUUAAACACAUAAAGUGUUUAUGAAAAACAUUUGAAGGAAACUGUUUGGUAAAACGGCUAAUGAGUAGCCAAUCAUUUGAAUGCUGCUUAUUAAUCACAUGUGAUUGAUAUAAUAAUUAGCAUAAUUCUACUUGUAUCCCCCCCAUAAAACAUUUAAAAACAGUUUAAAACAUUGAUUAAGGGGUAUGAACUCACCUGCAGUAAGUGACUGGAAUUGAACGGACUGUUAUCGUAAGGAAGGAUCGGACAAGUGCUUGGUGUCAAGUGAAGACUUUAGACACACACAAUGAUACUAAUUACAUAUGAAGACAUAUGUAUAUAAAUAAUUAGUGAUUAAAACACUAAUUAUACAAGUAUAAACAUUUUAACGCGAGGAAAACACUUUUGGUCAAGUGCUAGGAGGCUAAUGGGUUGCAACAAAGGAGUGUAACACCUCAAAUGGGAGUUUAAGGACUAAUGACCAUAUUCUUUGGAGUUUACGGCCCAGGGGAGUAAACUCUUGGCCGUAAACUCUACAUUGGGUCAUUAAUUGAGACUUAAAGUUGUUACAACUCAAGUGGUAAAUUGUUCAAAGGUUAAAUCAAGUGUUUGGGCUUCCUAUUAACUCCUUUAAGGAGUUUACGGCCCAGAGACCAUAUUCCCUUGGAGUUUACGGCCGUAAACUCCCUUGGGAGGGUGUUUAUGGUGUUUUCAAGUCUCUAACAUUUCAAGGUUAUGAUCUAUGUUGGGUUCUAGGCAUAAGGAAGGAGUUAGGGUGUCAUUUGACCCCUUUAUAGGGGUUUACGGCCCAAGAACUUGUCUUGGCCGUAAACUCCUCAAUACUUGUGAUUCCUUAUGUUUUUUAGGCUUUAAACACUUUAGGGUACAUGUCUAAAUUCAAGUCUAAGCCUUAGGUGCCUUAAAAGCACCAUUUGAGCUUGUUAUUUGGAGUUUACGGCCUAAGCUACUCUUGGGCCGUGAACUCCCAAACUUGGGUGAUUCUUGUUUGAUUUUAUGCCUCUAAUACACUCCUAUACAAGUCCAAGGUAGUAGUAUAUCACGGGGGACGAUCUAGGCUUGGUUUCAGGAGUUUUGCCGCCCAAGAACACCUUGGGGAGUAAACUCCUAAAUCGAAUGAUUUAGCUAUGUAAUCUAUGUUAUGAACACAUUUAAAGGUUUCUAACACUACUACAAAGAGUUACUCACAAUUUGGGAUAAAAACCCGAAGAUACAUGAGAGAGAAUUUUGGGUUUUCUCUAAUUGGAAUUCAACUAAUGAACCAAUUUGGUUCAGAAUUCUAUUUAUAGUCCUGAGAUAUUUUGGUAGAAAAUAUUUUUAUUCCU
rnacentral:lncRNA from 1 species